UACGGGGGGGGCAAGCGUUGUUCGGAAUUAUUGGGCGUAAAGAGCUCGUAGGCGGCUUGUCACGUCGGGUGUGAAAGACCGGGGCUUAACUCCGGUUCUGCAUUCGAUACGGGCUAGCUAGAGUGUGGUAGGGGAGAUCGGAAUUCUUGGUGUAGCGGUGAAAUGCGCAGAUAUCAGGAGGAACACCGGUGGCGAAGGCGGAUCUCUGGGCCAUUACUGACGCUGAGGAGCGAAAGCGUGGGGAGCGAACAGG
rnacentral:rRNA from 1 species